rnacentral:rRNA from 1 species
GAUGAACGCUAGCGGCAGGCCUAACACAUGCAAGUCGAGGGGCAGCACAGGUAGCAAUACUGGGUGGCGACCGGCGGAUGGGUGCGUAACGCGUAUGCAACCUACCAUUGAUUGGGGCAUAGCCCGAAGAAAUUCGGAUUAAUACUCCAUAAUAUUCAUCAAAGGCAUCUUUUAUGAAUUAAAGCUUUUGCGAUCAAUGAUGGGCAUGCGUGACAUUAGUUAGUUGGUGAGGUAACGGCUCACCAAAACGAUGAUGUCUAGGGGUUCUGAGAGGAUUAUCCCCCACACUGGUACUGAGACACGGACCAGACUCCUACGGGAGGCAGCAGUGAGGAAUAUUGGUCAAUGGGCGCAAGCCUGAACCAGCCAUCCCGCGUGAAGGAAGAAUGCGCUACGCGUUGUAAACUUCUUUUCCAGGGGAGAAUAAAUCCUGUCGUGACAGGACUUGACGGUACUCUGGGAAUAAGCAUCGGCUAACU